AGCGCAGGGUGGAUGCCUUGGCACUAAGAGCCGAUGAAAGACGUGAUAAGCUGCGAAAAGCUUCGGGGAGGAGCAAAUAUCCAUUGAUCCGGAGAUUUCUGAAUGGGGAAACCCGGCGGAGCAGACCUCCGUCAUCCAUACGCCAAUCCAUAACGUAUGGAAGGGAACCCGGUGAACUGAAACAUCUAAGUAGCCGGAGGAAGAGAAAGAAACAUCGAUUCCGGGAGUAGCGGCGAGCGAAAC
rnacentral:rRNA from 1 species